rnacentral:lncRNA from 1 species
UCAUAUGUGCAUGUUCAUACUCAUGGUGUCGCACAUGCUUUCAUCGUAGUCUGUUUGUAGCAGACAAAAUAAAUUAGCAGGUUUAUUACUUACAUUUAGCCGAACAAGUGGCUCACAACACUUGUAUGCACGCUGUCCAAACAUUUGAUGUGUUGACAAUGAUUGCUCCCUCCUGGUAGCUUCCGUUCAUUAUUGCACUGUGAUAACCACGAGGCGUGUACUUGAAAUGCACAUAAUCCUUCCACUAGUAUAGCGCAUGUGUUACCUGCUCCGCACUGUGUAAGUCGCUGUGGAAAACAAAGCUGUCACUAGGCUGUAGGGCUUCAUACAUUACAGCACCGAGCUCAAAUCGGUAAAUGGGUGCACUGUUGUUGGCAACACUGCCUUGUGCAGUGAAGUAUGAAUACCACCAGCCAACCUUACCUCUUAGGUAACUAGCAAAGGAGCCAGCUUAAGGAAAUCCCAGGAAUGUACUCCCAUUCCUGCUGUGUGUUUUAAGGAUUUCAACAGGGGUAGGCAGUGAAUUGCUUCAACUGGAUUACCAUUGUAUGAGUAAAAAAUAGAAAUAGAUGGGCUGUAACGUGAAAUAUUUAUUGCAUUUCAUAAAGCACAUACAUAUUCACCAAUUCUUUACAGUCCUUAAUACUGUGAACUAGACAAGGUACAGUGUCGCAAGUGCUCGUAGUUGCCCACUGUAGUGCAAGAAAAAUUUGUGUUCACGCAUAGUCAGUCUUUAUGCAUAUGGUGAUCAUGAGUUGUGUUCAAAGCUAACAAUUACAAAUGUUUUCACAGACAGCAUCUAUGAGUGGGAUCUCCCUGCAAGCCCGAAUGAUGAAAGCAGCGAGGUGGUGUGCAUCCAAGCACAAAAUGGAGCCACCACAGCUGAGGUCGAGCUAUCGGCACAAGGAGGGCCAGCUGACCUGCAACCUGCUGUCCCACCACUGGCUUCCCCGUUACAGGCUACCCCACAAAACCCAGCUCCUGUGCAACGCAGAACGCUCGCAAAGAGGGCAGCUGUUGAAGAAGAGCUUAGCGCCCGCCUUAGCAGCGUUGAGGAAGAUAAUAAACGAAAGACGAGGGAGCACUUGCUCAAGAUGAAGCUGAUGAGAGCUGAACAUGCUCUCCAUAUGAGGCAAUCAAAACAAAUGCAUGAGCUUGACUGUGCUAGCAAAAAGGCUAAGCUCGAGCUGCUAAUGCUGAAAAUAGAUGCCGUGAAAAAAGCAAAUGCCGAAAGCCCUUUCGACGGUGUUCCUGGUCCGGAUUUGGGACUUGUUAUACCUAAAUAAAGAGAUGUUACAUA